AUGCAGACUGCAUCUGCGUGUCAAUUGCAACACCAUGACUUGAAGCUCAGAGGGCUGACACCAAAUAAAGGAGACAAGAAUGAGAUAAGUGGUCACAGAACAAGUAGGUCCUCUUUUUCUCAAGAACAAAACUUAAAGUCAUGGGAACAAGCCAAAAGCAUUGCUGGGAACAUUAAUCAGGAGACCAUGAAUGAACUGAGUCAGGUAUGAGUACUGCAAAUCUGAGUAAGAGGGAAAAGGAAGGGACCAUUGCCCUUUGGGUGUACUUAUUUCUAAGAAAUAAGGCCCAGCAAAUUUUAUGAAUAACACUCCCACAAUGUACUACCAUCAGACAAUUUAAGAAGGCAAAACAUACCUUGAGAGAAAGGACUCAUUGGAAAUAGUAGAGCAAAACCAUAGUCAGCAAGGGUAGGUGGUUGGAGGGUGCUGAGCAGAACCCAUUGGACCAACAGUGUCAACUAACCUGGACCUCUGGGAGUUCCCAGAGACUAACCCACCAACAAAAGGGUAUGCGCUGUCUAGUCUGAGGACCCCUGCACAUACUUAGCAGAGGACCGACUGCCUUGUUUGGCCCGAGUAGGAGAAGAUGUAUCUAAAGAGACUUGCUACCCUAAAGAAGGAGAAUGCCGGGGGGAGGGGGGACCCUCUCAAAGGUGAAGGGGAUGAGGGAUGGUGGAUGGGGCCGGAAACUCUGGAAGGGGGGACCAGAAG
rnacentral:lncRNA from 1 species